rnacentral:sRNA from 1 species
AGGCAAGGCACGAGCGCCGGGGAGCACGGCGCGGGCCUCCUCCUCUCUCCGUCUCCCAGAGGGAGUCGAGAUCCCCCGCUCCCGCCCCUUCGCUUGUUGGGACCUCCAGGACCUCUUCUAGUGUCAUACUAAGCAGAAGAGAUCUGUGAGGCUCCGAUUUAAAAAUACUGUUUUACAGGCUGAUUUUGACAGGGCUGCAGAAGAUGUGAGGAAGCUGAAAGCAAGACCAGAUGAUGGAGAACUGAAAGAACUCUAUGGGCUUUACAAACAAGUGAUAGUUGGAGACAUUAAUAUUGCAUGUCCAGGAAUGCUAGAUUUAAAAGGCAAAGCCAAAUGGGAAGCAUGGAACCUCAAAAAAGGGUUGUCGACGGAAGAUGCGAUGAGUGCCUAUAUUUCUAAAGCAAAGGAGCUGAUAGAAAAAUAUGGAAUUUAGAAUACAGCAUAUAAGGAAUUUUUCCUUUUGAAGCCUUCCAAAU